UGCUGAUUUGCAUGUGUUCAUAACACAGCCCAUUGCCAUGAGGAUUCCUUCAUAAUCAGGUCACACCUUGUGCUGGAGUCAGUCUCACACAGGUCACAGAACCGACAUGAGGGUCCCAACUCAACUCCUGGGGUUGCUGCUGCUCUGGCUUACAGGUGCAAGAUGUGACAUCCAGAUGACCCAGUCUCCAGCCUCCCUGUCUGCAUCCCUGGGAGGCAGUGUCACCAUCACAUGCAGGGCAAGUCAGGAUAUUUAUAGUGCUUUGGCAUGGUAUCAGCAGAAACCAGGGAAUCCUCUUAAGCUCCUGAUCUAUGGUGCAAACAGCUUGGCAGAUGGGGUCCCAUCAAGGUUCAGUGGCAGUGGAUCUGGCACACAGUAUUCUCUUAAGAUCAGCAACCUGCAGUCUGAAGAUGUUGCAACUUAUUAUUGUCAACAAGGUUUGAGUAUUCCUCCCACAGUGAUACAAGUCAUGACAUAA